UGCUAUGCUUGUUCGAAGACUUCUUCUAGAAGAACCUGAAACAGCAAUGGAGUCUGCAACAAUAUCAGAUAAAGAGCAGAUAGAGUUCUACGUGACAUCUUCAAUCAAGAAUGCAUUUACAAGGAUAAUACAAGAUGUUGAGGCAAUAUCUCAAGCAACAAAUGAGCAUCCUUUAGCACUGCUUGCAGAACACACGAAGAAACUAUUGCAAAGAGAUAAUACUAUUUACAUGCCUAUCUUAUCUCAACGGCAUCAAAAUGCUGCUGCUGUUUCUGCAUCCACACUUCACAAGCUUUAUGGUAUCAAAUUGAGACCAUUCCUUGAUAAUGCGGAACAUCUGACCGAGGAUACAAUAGCUGUCUUUCCUGCUGCUUAUAGUCUUGAGCAUGAUAUAAUGCAAGUUAUCGUAUCUUCUUGUGCUGAUGGAACAUCAGAUGCUUAUUGUAGAAAACUAAACUUGUUCAAGAUUGAGACUGCG
rnacentral:misc_RNA from 1 species